AUUGAACGCUGGCGGCAGGCCUAACACAUGCAAGUCGAACGGUAACAGGAAGCAGCUUGCUGCUUUGCUGACGAGUGGCGGACGGGUGAGUAAUGUCUGGGAAACUGCCCGAUGGAGGGGGAUAACUACUGGAAACGGUAGCUAAUACCGCAUAACGUCGCAAGACCAAAGAGGGGGACCUUAGGGCCUCUUGCCAUCGGAUGUGCCCAGAUGGGAUUAGCUAGUAGGUGGGGUAACGGCUCACCUAGGCGACGAUCCCUAGCUGGUCUGAGAGGAUGACCAGCCACACUGGAACUGAGACACGGUCCAGACUCCUACGGGAGGCAGCAGUGGGGAAUAUUGCACAAUGGGCGCAAGCCUGAUGCAGCCAUGCCGCGUGUAUGAAGAAGGCCUUCGGGUUGUAAAGUACUUUCAGCGGGGAGGAAGGGAGUAAAGUUAAUACCUUUGCUCAUUGACGUUAACCGCAGAAGAAGCACCGGCUAACUCCGUG
rnacentral:rRNA from 1 species